rnacentral:rRNA from 1 species
GAUGAACGCUAGCGGCAGGCCUAACACAUGCAAGUCGAGGGAGGAGCUUUCGGGCUUCGACCGGCGUACGGGUGCGUAACGCGUAUACAAUCUGCCUUUCGCAUAGGGAUAGCCCGAAGAAAUUUGGAUUAAUACCUAAUGGUAUAUAGGAGUGGCAUCACAUUUAUAUUAAAGCUGAGGCGGUGAAAGAUGAGUAUGCGUUCUAUUAGCUAGUUGGAGAGGUAACGGCUCCCCAAGGCGACGAUAGAUAGGGGUUCUGAGAGGGAUAUCCCCCACACUGGUACUGAGAUACGGACCAGACUCCUACGGGAGGCAGCAGUGAGGAAUAUUGGACAAUGGUCGGAAGACUGAUCCAGCCAUGCCGCGUGCAGGAAGACGGCCUUAUGGGUUGUAAACUGCUUUUGCAGGGGAAGAAUAAGGACUACGAGUAGUUUGAUGACGGUACUCUGCGAAUAAGCAUCGGCUAACUCCGUG